CUCAGCAAGUUAGCAUAAUUGGAUGAUUUUUCCUAAUUAGUAACUAACUUAGCUGGGCUCCUUUCUGUAGGAGGGCAGUUGCCCUCAGGUUGGUGGUUAUCUGAGAAAUUGGUCUGGGUGGAGUAAUGUCAGUUUCCUUAUUACAUCUUUAAAUGGUGAGUGAGUCACUCUUCACUUCCAUCCUUAGAAGAUAAAACUCGUCCGUCCAUCACACAGUAAAAAUCUGGCGUCAUGGUUUUGGGCUAUUAUGCUAAUAGAUAUUGAUGCUUCUGAGACCUUUCCUACUUUUAUUUUCACAGUUCUUUCCACGUAAGUAGAGCACAGACUCGUGUUAUUCCCCUCAAAUGGCCCUUCCAUUAUUAGUUUUCCCUCCCUCUUGGCACUAUUUCUAAUGGGAACCUCCAUUUUGGCUGAUGUGCGUCAUCUCCUGUUGACACUUAUGUUUGGGGAUAGUUGUCUUCUCUUAUCCAUUUUGGCAAUUAGGAACACACCCCUAAUUGCUGUUAUGUAUUGCGGGAGUUUGGAAGGACAUUAACGUAUUUCCUGACCCUGCAAAAAUCUAAAGCAAACCUAGAAGGAAAUGUUUCGUCUGUUUUUAUUUCACUGUGGUUUAGCUUAGGUGAAAGUCAUCAGUAGACUAAUUAUUUACUGGGUGUGGAUUCCCAUAUAUUUAUUGAAAACCCUGAAUAUUUUGGAAAAUUUUGAAACAUCUGGAAAUUGACUUGUGGGCACAAUUUCUAUGAAUAUUUAUUAUGUGAGGCUGUUACAGAUUCAUUCAUUCGUUUAUUUAAUAAAUAUGUAGUAAACAUCUGUUAUGUGCCAGUCACUGUUUUGGGCACUUUGGAUAAGUAGAAUCAUACAUUAUUUGUCUUUUGGUGAUGGGCUUAUUUCCUUUAGCAUAAUGUCCUCAAGUUUCAACCAUAUUGUAGCAUGUGUCAGAAUUUCUUUUCUUUUUAAGGCUGAAUAAUAUUCCAUUGCAUGUAUAUACUAUAUUUUGUUUAUCCAUUCAUCAGUUGAUGGACAUUAGAGUUGCGUUUACCUUUUGGCUAUUGUGAUUAAAGCUAUUAUCAACAUGGGUAUACAAAUAUCUGUUCAGGUCCCUGCUUUUAUUUCCCAUGGGAAUUCUACUUCUCGAAAGUAGAAUUACUAGAUCUUAUGGUAAUUCUAUUUUUAAUUUUUUGAGGAAAUGCCAUACUGCUUUCCAUAGUAGCUGCAUUAUUUCACAUUCCCAUCCAUAGUGCACAAGGGUUCCAAUUUCUGCACAUCAUCGCCAACAUUUGUUAUUUUCUUUUUUUUCUUUUCUUUAUUGUGGCCAUCCUAAUGCACAUCAGGUGGUGUCUUCUUGUGGUUUUGAUUUGCAUUUCCUUAAUGAUUAGUGAUGUUGAGCAUCUUUUCAUAUGCUUGCUGGCCAUUUGAAUAUAUUCUCUGGAGAAAUGUCUAUUCAAGUUCUUUGCCCAUUUUUAGAGUCAUAUUGCUUUUUUGUUGUUGAGUUGUAGGAGUGUGCUAUAUAUUCUGGAUAUUAAUCCAUUAUCAUUUCAUUGUUAAACAGGUUGAAUUUAUCACUCUUUAUUUUUGGAUUGUGAUUCUAUUAUCUUAUUUAAGAAAUGAUUAAUUCUCCAAGCUCAUACAAAUAUUUUCUUAUUUUGUUUUCUAAACAUUGAAUCAUUUUGCCUUUCACAUUUAAGGCUUUGGUAGUUUGGAAUAAUUUUUUAGUAUUCUUUUUUUUUGAAUCUUUGAUACAGAAUCAAAUUUCAUUUUUAAAAAUGUGGAUCAUGGGGGCACCUGGGUGGCUCAGUCGGUAGGGCAUUGGAUUUGAGUUCAGGUCAUGAUCUCCCCAUGAGUUUGAGACCCACGUCGGGCUCUCUGCUAUCUGGUUUGGAUCCUCUGUACCCCCCCCCCCCACCGCCCCUCUGCCACUUGUUCUCUCCCUCUCUCUCUUUCUCUCAAAAAUAAGUAAAUAUUUAAAAAAUGUAGAUAAUGAUACUUUGAGCAUAUUUACUGAAUGGUGCCAUCCUUUCCCUGUAGUGCCAUAUUGUCAAUAAAGAAAGUGUCCACUGCCUCCUCUGUCCUUAAGAAAAUCUUCAUAUAGGUGAGGAUUCAUUUGGUACCAGUUUUCUAUCUGUGCCAGAACCAUAUCAUUUUUGUCACAAUUGCUCCAUAAUAUAACAUGAUAUUUGGUAAGGCAAGAACUCCACCAACUCCUUGCCAUCAAGUCAAUUUUUAUUUCUCCAUUCCUCUUUUUUUUUUCAUUCUUUUUAAAAAUAUAAUUUAUUGUUGGGGCGCCUGGGUGGCUCAGUCGGUUGAGCUUCUGACUUCGGCUCAGGUCAUGAUCUCACGGUCUGAGUUCGAGCCCCGCAUCGGGCUCUGUGCUGACAGCUCAGAGCCUGGAGCCUGCUUCAGAUUCUGUGUCUCCCUCUCUCUCUGACCCUCCCCUAUUCAUGCUCUGUCUCUCUCUGUCUCAAAAAUAAAUAAACAUUAAAAAAUAAAUUUAAAAUAUAAUUUAUUGUCAAAUUGGUUUCCAUACAACACCCAGUGCUCAUCCCAAUUCCUCUUAUAUAAAUUUUAAAAUCAGCUUUUUAAAUACAAUAAGAUCUUAAGAUGUGCCUUAAAUCUUUAAAACUAUUUGAGAAAAUUUGACAUCCCUAUGAUAUUGUGUAUAUCCAGAAAAUUGAAUAUCCUUUCCAUUCACUGAGGUCUUCCUCAAUGUCCAUUAGUAAAAAGUUAUUUUUCCAUAUGUGCUUUCAUAUCAUUUUUUAGAACAACUUCCAGAUAUUUAUCUAAUAUUGUUGUUGAGGAUAUCUUUUAUUUUUAUUUUUAAAAUGUUUAUUUAUUUAUUUUGAGAGACAGCAUGGGAAGGGCAGGGAGGAGAGGGAGAGAAAGAAUCCCAAGCAGACUGCACUGUCAGCACAGAGCCCAGUGUGGGACUUGAACUCAUGAACCUUGAGAUCAUGACCUGAGCUGAAAUUAAGAGCUGAACAUUCAACUAACUGAGCCCCAAAGACAUCUUUUAGAAAUCACAUUUUCUAGAUAAAUUUUACUAUGUAAAGAAAUGCAAUUGAUAUUUGCCUAGUGAUUUUGAUCAACUUUGUACAUUCUAUUCUUUUCACCCCAGUUUUUAUUUAUUUUUUCCAGCUUUAUUGAGAUAUAAUUGACAAAGAAAAUUGUAAUAUAUUUAAACUGUACAAUGUCAUGAUUUGAUACAUGGAUACACCAUGAAAUGAUUCUCACAGUCAAGUUAAUUACCAUAUCCACUGCUUCACAAGUUACCUUUGUGUGUGUGAGAGGGAAAACUCCUAAGAUCUACUCUCAGCAAAUUUCAAGUAUGCAAUACAAUAUAAUUAACUGUAGUCACCAUGCUACAUGUUAAGUCCUCAGAACUUAUUCAUCUUCUAACUGGAAGUUUGGACACUUUUACCAACCUAUCCCAUAUUCCCCCCUCUCAAGGCCCCGGCAACCACCAUUUUGUUCUGCAUGAAAACGUUCUUGUUGUAAACAAAUGUAGCAGUGUGUAAUGAUAUCCAGUAAAAUAUCAAAGUCCCUCCUGGUUUUUGUCCUCCCUACUCUCCCAGUGUACCCUUCCAGCUGUUUGCACCCUCCAACUGGUUUUCUAUUCAUUUGCACACGUGCAUAGUAUGUAAAUACACAAGUGCCACACAUGAGUUAUCUGUGUUAUAUGCACUGUUCUCUAACUUGCUUUGUUCACUGUACAUAAUAUGCCUUAGAGCAUGAGUAGGUGCCUAAUGUGGUAGAAACUGCGCCCCGACUCCCAAAUUUUUAACUGGGCAAUGUCUGCCCACAAUAAAGACUGCUUUUUCAGGCAUUCUCUGCAGCUAAUUGUGACAACGUGAUUAAGCUAGCCAAUGUGAUACAAGCAGGAGUAUAUGUGGCAUGUUCUGGAAACUUUAAGAAGAAACUGAGGGGCGCCUGGGUAGCUCAGUCGGUUAAGCGUUCAACUUCUGCUCAGGUCAUGAUCUCAUGGUCCGUGGGUUUGACACCCACAUCGGGCUCUGUGCUGACACCUCAGAGUCUGGAUCCUAUUUCAGAUUCUGUGUCUCCCUCUAUCUCUGCCCCUCCCCCGUUUGCACUCUGUCUGUCUGUCUCUCUCUCUCUCUCAAAAAUAAAUAAACAUUAAAAAAAUUAAGAGGAAGCUGACACAAGUCUUUGUCCCAUCUUCUCGUUUUCCUUCAUCCUGCUGGCAUGGGUGUGAUGGCUGGAUCUGAUGGUUGGUUCUUCCCCUUGGACCAUGAGCCAAGGCCACAUUCUGGCUCUGGUAAAGUGGAAAGCUGAAAACAACCUGGGUUUCUGUUGGUGUUCUGGUGCAAAGCUGUGAUCAUAGCCCUGAAUGCUCUACUUCUGCAGUUUUAUGCGUGAAAGAAAGAAACUUCUAAUUGUAUAAAGUCCUGUUAUUCUCGUACCGUUACUCGGAGCCAAACCUAAUUUUAAGUAAUUUGUUCAACCACUCUCUUACUAAGGGACCUUCAGAUUAUUUCCAGCUUAUUGCUAUUAUUGAUAAUGCUGAACAUGUUCACAUUUUUCUUUAGGAUGGAUUCCUUAAGAUUUUUUUUUUUUUUUGCCAGUUCUUGUUAAUCAGAUUUAUUGAGGUUUCAUAUAUCCAUAAUACAAUUAGCCUUUUUUAGCCUACAGUUCUAUAGAUUUUGCCAAAAACAUGGUCAUGUAGCCACUACCAUAACGACGAUAUAGAACAGUCCCCUGACCCCCCCCCACCCCCAAUUCCUCUGUAUCCCUUUGUACUCCGUCUCUGCCCACAGCCCCAGCUCCAGGCAAACACUGAUCGCUUUUCUAGGUCUGUAGUUUUGCCCCACCAUGUGAUAUACAUGGAAUUAGACAGUGAAUUCUUUGAGUCUGACUUUUUCAGUUGGCAUAAUGCAGUUGACAUGCAUUCAUGCUGUUGAGUGUAUUUAUUAAACAUUUGUUAAUUUUUAUUGGACUGUUUUCCACUUUUUUUGGCGUACUGCAGUUUGUUUAUCCACUCACUAGUUGUUUCCAGUUUUUGAUAAAUAUGAAUAAAGCCACUAUAAAUAUU